GAGAGAAAGAUAAUGAUUUGAUUAUGGUUUAUAUAUAUAGAUAUUUCUUUAUACAUAUACAGAUUUGUGAUUUUAACUCUUAAAUCACUUUUUGCCUAACAUUAUUUCUGUUCCUACAUCAGAACACUUGUCUGUGCCUGCUUUGAUUGGACUGGUGUUUUCAGUUGACGUAUCGCAAAGGAGAAAGACAGUACUGCAGACCCAUUAUAAAAACAUGCAUUGCUAAUAGAGUCCUCUGUAUUUAAAAAUAAUAAUGAUUAAAAGAUUGUUGUAGUUUUUACUUAAGGAGAUUGAGGCAUUUCAGUAAACUAGCAGGGUGCAAAUAAGUUGCAGUUAUACAGUGUGAACUACUUCAACAUGAACCAAGGCAAUUGUGAAAGGAUGCCAUGGGGAAGUGCAUUUAAAAGUUCUUUACACCAAGAGUUGUGGGAGAAUGGCUCAUGUGAUCCAGCUAUUUCGUUGAAACCAACAGCCUGUCUUCUUUAGAGCAACGACUGCAUGAGAUUAUUGAAUCAAACAGAUACCAGAGACCAGGGCGACAUGGGUUGAAUACGGUUUGAACUUUCUCAUGUUCUUGUAACUUCUUAAAUGAACACAUCAGCUGCAUGACUAAUAAGAAGUACAUAGGUAGUAAAUUAACUGUAUAUUAACCAUUUUACAGAUGAAAAAUCUGACUUGGUGCAGCAUUAAGAUAAGUCAGGUUAUAGAAUUGUAAAUGUCCUGCAAAGAUCUUUAAACCCCACAGCUCGCCUACAUAUUUCUAAAUUCUUUAAUUCACAUUCCUGUGGUUCUCAGAUGCUAAUAACCAUUAAAUGUACUAUGAUUACUCAGAUGGCCAUGGAAAUAAAACAUUUUGAAACUUGUAACUCAUGGGGGCUUCUGAAAACACGCUGGAUUUCUUCCGCAAGUUUUCAGGCGGAGCCAAGAAAAAAGCUACCUGCACCGUCAGUCUGUAGCCACGCCCACUCGGGUGACAUCAGUCGCAGGCCACGCCCCGCGCACCUGUCCGCCAGGUUCAGCGGGGGAGAAGGGAGCUGGUGUUUUCGAGCAGGACAUGAUUCACACUAAGUAAUGGGAGUCUAAACUUUGGUGUCUUCGGGCAGGACAUGCUUGGCUCAGCUGCUGGAAUUAACCGUGUAAGUAUAAACGUUUUUAUUCUUUUCUACGGAUCCUAUUGAGGUACACUAUAUCUGUACCUGCCGAAAAGUGUUGUUGGAAAACACGAUGCACCUUGUCAAAAGAAAACUCAAACUAGGUGUGAUACUAGAUUUCUCCAGGGCAGAAAUGGUUUUGACCCGACAACACUGUAGGCCUGCUGGUUAAAGAAAGCAAUUUUCUGCUAAAACUGCGAUCAC